GACGAACGCUGGCGGCGUGCUUAACACAUGCAAGUCGAACGAAGUGGCGAACGGGUGAGUAAUACGUGGGUAACCUGCCCUCCUUUUUGGGAUAAGCCUUGGAAACGGGGUCUAAUACCGAAUAAAGGGGGAUGGGCUGGCGGCCUGUCAGCUUGUUGGUGGGGUGAUGGGCUACCAAGGCGGUGACGGGUAGCCGGCCUGAGAGGGUGAACUGGGACAGAGGGACGGCGAUGCGGCCCAGGCGCGGACGGGGGGCGGCAGCUGGGGAUAUGGCAGAAUGGGCGAAAGCGUGAUGCAGCGACGCUGCGUAGGGGAUGAAGGCUGUCGGGUUGUAAACCUCUUUAGGUAUCGAACGGGUAGGUGGAGAAGAAGCGCCGGCUAACUACGUGCCAGCAGCCGCGGUAAUAC
rnacentral:rRNA from 1 species